rnacentral:misc_RNA from 1 species
AAGUCGUAACAAGGUUUCCGUAGGUGAACCUGCGGAAGGAUCAUUACUGAUUUGCUUAAUUGCACCACAUGUGUUUUUAUUGAACAAAUUUCUUUGGUGGCGGGAGCAAUCCUACCGCCAGAGGUUAUAACUAAACCAAACUUUUUAUUUACAGUCAAACUUGAUUUAUUAUUACAAUAGUCAAAACUUUCAACAACGGAUCUCUUGGUUCUC